UACGUAGGGUGCGAGCGUUGUCCGGAAUCAUUGGGCGUAAAGAGCGUGUAGGCGGCUCGGUAAGUCCGCUCUGAAAGCCCGGGGCUCAACCCCGGGAGGCGGGCGGAUACUGUCGGGCUAGAGUCCGGAAGAGGCGAGUGGAAUUCCUGGUGUAGCGGUGAAAUGCGCAGAUAUCAGGAGGAACACCAAUAGCGAAGGCAGCUCGCUGGGACGGUACUGACGCUGAGACGCGAAAGCGUGGGGAGCAAACAGG
rnacentral:rRNA from 1 species